AACCUCUCAGAUCAUCCAGUCCAAGCAAUCUUUCCAUUCUUCUCAAUCCUGAGGAUUGAAAUUACAUCAGUGGGGAUAAAAAUAUAUGUUUUGCUGUCCAGGUAAUCCCACAGGAGUCUGGCCAAACUCCAUAAAGCUCCAUGGAAGCAGACUGGGACACUUCACUGAGGUGAGGCUGAAACUGGAC
rnacentral:lncRNA from 1 species